rnacentral:rRNA from 1 species
UACGUAGGGUGCAAGCGUUGUCCGGAAUUAUUGGGCGUAAAGAGCUCGUAGGCGGUUUGUUGCGUCGGCUGUGAAAUCCCGAGGCUCAACCUCGGGUCUGCAGUCGAUACGAGCAAACUAGAGUGUUGCAGGGGAGACUGGAAUUCCUGGUGUAGCGGUGAAAUGCGCAGAUAUCAGGAGGAAUACCGGUGGCGAAGGCGGGUCUCUGGGCAACAACUGACGCUGAGGAGCGAAAGCGUGGGGAGCGAACAGG